rnacentral:lncRNA from 1 species
CCCAACAUUAGAAUAUGUGAAGGAGAAGGAAAUAUUGUAGAUCCUAUUUAGUACCAUCGUGCAGGUUUGGAAAUAAUCAAAAUCACUUAAGUUAUGAACAGUAACAUUGGCAAAAACCAGACUGGAAUGCCAUCAGUUUUCAGAAAUUGUGGGAGUACAAGGGAAGAAGACGAAGAAGACGACUUGCAGGAAAUAAGCUGACAUUUCUGUGCUGAAAAAUGAACAGAAAAAAUAGAAAAAUCAUUGUCCAAUUAACAAUGCACACAGUUCAGGGGCUCGAAAGAAGACCAUGGAAUAGAUUGGUGAUGGUGACUUCACUGUGAGAGAAGACCCGGGGGGGGGGGGGUCAGAUCAUUCAAUUCCAAGGCCAUUUAAUGUUCCCUAUGAUGCAUCAGCUUCAGGAAUUGAUGACAGAAAUUAUCAGAGGCAUGCCUGUCAGCCCUCUUGUCUAGAGAUGGCUUCUAUUCACCUUUCCACAUCAUGAUUUCUUCAUUUCUUGUGCAGUGUCCCUCUGCACCAAUUUCAUCUCUUUGCUUGUUUCAUUUAUCUUUAUUUUGGUUACGAGCAAUAUCUGUCAAUGGUCGGGCCAGCGUAUUACUUUAGGUCAUCUAUAUUGGAUUAGAUCAUAGAGAAACGGGGAACAAAUUGAAAUGAACUUAAUCAUGUUCCAUACAGAUAUUUUGUCUUGAUCUCUCUUCGCGUUCCAGUUUAAGGGUGAGUUAUUUCCAAUGGAUUCCUUCAUUGCAUGAGCUUAACAUAAUCGAAUAUUGGACCAUUCACUUUAAAGAUAAAAAGUUUGGAAUAUUGCAGAAAAAUUCUAGGAAUUUUUAAGCAAGAACAUAUAUUUGAAGUGAAUGCUGCCUGUCACACUAUGAUAUCAAGUGUUACUAACCAAAUGGACAAGACAGUGUAAUUACUUAGGGUACAUAUUUUCCUUGGCAAAUGGAAUGGGUAACUCCUUCACCUUUCUGCUUUCUUCAAGCAACGUAAAAAUCAUACGCCAGCUUUACAAAAGUUUAAAUGAUAACUUUCAUUUCUUGGGUAACUAAAAAGAGUUCCCAGUAUGCAACAAGUAAUCCAACAGAAAUGGAAAAGGAAUUCUAUUUUAUGCACAAGAAACUAUACAAGGAUUUACCUCAUUCAGUUCUGGUGAUUUGAUUAAACAUGAAAAAUAUAUAGUGUAAUCUGAUACUGAAUAUCUUGGAGGGUUAUUCACUUAUCUAGUUAAUCAUCAAGAGAAACAAACAUAAAACAUUCAUGACUUGAUUAACAGUGUGCACUUUAGUACUACCGAGUCGAGUCCCAUCCAAUACGGUAUUAAACUUGCCUAAUUCAAAUACGUUUAGACUACAGAUCUGGUGCCAAAUAUUAACAAAAUACUUUGUAGCUGAUAUUUCUGAAGCUAAUGAGGCUUUUCCUCAGAAGUUCAUACCAGAAAAACGGCAAUUCAUAUAUAUAAAUUUUUAUCCUGACAUGGAGAUCCAUAAAUGAAGCUUGUUGAUUCAUGGUGGAAGAGUUUUUUCUCAUGGAUGAAAACCCCUUUGGAAGAUGAAACCCUAAUGAAGAAAAAUCCCAUGAAAAUAUGAAUACAAUGAUGGUAAUGAUAACGUUUAUAAAGUCACAAAGCUAAAGCAAAAAGCAGAUCAGAUAAACGUAUAAAAGACAGAACAGGUUCUUGAAAUCAUCAUGAGAAAAAUCAGCAUAAUGAUAGACUGACAAAGAGUAAACACCCACAAACCCACAAAAUAGAAUCUGCAUAUAAAAACAUGAGUCAUGAUGAUAAUAUGAAUCUAGCCCUAUUCUGCUGUAUAUAUAUUUUUUUUGGCAGAAAAAGCAGGUCAAAAUCUUUAAUCAUUACCCCAAUCUGCUCCUGCAUGGCUAACAGUCCACAAUUCACCUGACCAUUCAAAAAUUCACAUAUAAAACAGCCCAAAACUCAUCUAAAAUCAACCAGUUCAACAAAUUAGACAUAAUUAUUAACCAACCUCAUCUAAAGUUAGAACAUUUUGGAGGCAUUUCUGUGUACUAGGAAUUUCCCAGAGACGAGAUCUUGGGUGAGAGAAAGCAAGAAUUGGGGGGAAUGAAGCCUGGUCCGACGACACUAACAUAAGGCCGUUGAUCCGAUGAGCUUGUUGGUGGCCUCGAGCCAGACAACAUUCCCCUCAAAAAAGAAAGCUUUUCCUCUUCAUUUUCAUGGCUUGAAUCUAAAUAUUGAGAGAGGGAGGACGGGCUGGGGAGAGAGAGAGAGAGAGAGAAAGAGUGUGAAUGUCAGGGAGAUGUGUUUGUGUGAGAAAGGAGAGUGAG